AACUUAGGCUAAAGUUUCAUCGCCCGGAGCGGGAAUCGAAUCCUCACCCCAUAGCAUGGUGCGAUUCUUGGUGACACUAACCGCACGGCUACGAGGUUCCACAAAUGUUGAACACACCCCUUAGCAAGCUCAUCAUCAUGUUUCGAAUUCCGUUAACAAGAAUGUGGGUGAAUGUGAAACUGUCAACCAUGCGUCUCCAUUUUCGUUAACUAACGGAAAUGCUUAGUAUUAUUACACAGCGUAACAAAAAUUAACUUUUGGUCUGUCUCAAGAGCAAGCUUAUGUGUCUCUGACAGAUUUUGGGCCGCUGAAUCCGAAUCCGGGCUCAGAUUUGCUCCAACACGUCACAAUUUUGAGCUAUACCUCAAUUUAUAGGGCAAAAUAUGCGAUUUUGGGCUUUUUUGACUGCAACCCAUUAAGCAUGGAAAUAUUUUUUUUAAGCAAUCAAAAGGUUAAUUGGUCAAUUAACAUCUAAAUUAACGACUCACGCAAAAUAUUUCGUUUUACCAAAUCCAAUUUGAUAGUUUUAGGGUAAAUGUACCAAUAGUGGUGCUAUUAGUAGCUCCUUGUAGUAAAAUAAUUGAAUAAAAUUGAUAAUACCACAAAAUAAAAAAGUCUGAAAACGUUAAUCGUUAGUUUUUUACUUAAAUUUGCUAGGAAAAGUGUAAAAACCAUCGUUUAUUUCAGUUUUUGCUAAUAAAUCACUUGCACCAACUAUUGGUACACGGUUCCUAUUAUGGAGGUAAAAUUUAACAUUGGUUCCAAUAGUGGCGCAUCCCAUUGAUUUCUUAUGGGACCCACCAUUAUAGGAACACUACCACCACUAUAGGUGCAAAGGAGCAAAAAAGUUAAGGAAAAUAAUUAUUUAAAAGAGGUUUUCCACCAAAUCCUGAACUCAAAACUGAAUUAAUGUUAUUAAUUAGGUAUGAUGCAUUUGUUAAAAAUGCCAUUUGCAAGCUUUUUGGUCGAAAUAGUGCCAAAUCGCCACUACCACCACUAUUGGUACUACCUCCACUAAGGGAGCUUUUACCCUAAGCGAAUUAUGUUAGGACCGAUAUUUCCCAUACAAGUCACCCUCCAAAAGUUGCAUGCAAGUUUUCAUACUGACAUAAAAUGCUUAAAACUAUCAAAUUUGAUUAGGUAAAACAAAAUAUUAUGCAUGAUUCGUUAAUUUAGAUGUUAAUUGACCAAUUUACCUUUUAAUUGCUUAAAAAAAAUAUUUCCAUGCUUAAUGGGUUGCAGUCAAAAAAGCCCAAAAUCGCAUAUUUUGCCCUAUAAAUUGAGGUAUAGCUCAAAAUUGUGACGUGUUGGAGCAAAUCUGAGCCCGGAUUCGGAUUCAGCGGCCCAAAAUCUGUCAGAGACACAUAAGUUUACUCUUGAGACAAAAAAAUGUUGCGCUGUGUUAUGAGCUGAGACGAGACUCGCGAAGAGGAAAAAAAGCAACGUCAAGUGCAGCCCAACUGAGCUGUCAGUUGUAGCCCGUUUGAUUGCGUUACCUAAAACGAGUAAAGUAUUGCUAUCCGAGAUAAAUUCUGAAGCCAAAAUUCACUCCGAGCAGCAUUUUCUUCUCCUGUACUGUCAAAAAUAAAUUGAAAACAAAAUAUUCCAAUGAUUACUUUGCUUGGCGAUUGUUGGCGAUGCAAAAUUUCACCUCAACAUGAUUUUGUGCAUGAAUGGGAUUCAGUUACACUGCAUGUGAGGUGAUGCGGUCACGUACGUGUUUGAACCACUAGCCCAAAACAUAAUGUCAACACAGAUAGGAAGAAGAAAAAAAAUAACAAAGUGGAGAAAAAGAAGACCGUCUCAGGUUAUGAGUAGACGACCAUUCACUCAUAUGUUACAGGGGACUUUUCGGGUUUCACAAAUGGCUUGUGAAUACUAUUUUAAUAUUUAGUUACUUCAUGCACCACUUUUUUCUACUGUUCCCCUUUCCGAUAUUGAAAAAUCGCUAUUGGUUCACGCGUUUACUGAUUUUGGAGAUAGAUAGAGACCUAAGCAAAGAGAACGAGAGCAAAGAGUGGUGAGAACGGGUCUAUGGGAUUACCAUUCUUUGCCAAGUUGACUCUCUGCGCUGCUCUGCCUCCAUCAACAACGCGAAACUUCGCUCCGAUCCAAGUGAGUACCGACGAUACUCGCGGUAUAGUGUAGUGUGCGACGAGCAUGACACCAGCAGAACAACAUGUCCAUUCACGCGCGCGGCAGCCAGCGGCGGGGGAGUCAAAAACGUGACGCGGAGCGAACGUGUGGGAUCGCCCACCGACGCCAAACAGCCAGCUUUGUGAUGCGAUGGUAUGGUGGCACGGCGACGGCGACGGCGGAAGAACGACGACGAUGUGGAAAAGCUGCUAGCACAGCAGCAAUUCACUUCACUUCACCGUACUGUCGACUCGAGUCGAGUCGAGUCAGUGUAGUGUCACUGUUGUUGCCGCCGAGCCGCGUCGAGUCGGCGGGUCGGGACCGACCGACCGUCAGAAGGCUGGUCGCAGUCGGUUGCGAUCCGUGUUCCGUUCCGGUCGUGUUUUCUGGCUUCCUCUCGCUGGUCUCGCGGCUCUUGUGAUUGGUCGGUGUGGGAAGAACAGCAAAGCAGAGCACUUCCUGCCGCCCGCUAGACUUCGAUGGUUCGAUGGCGGUUGGAAGAAUAAUCACAGUGCGGUUUCCUUUGGGGACUUGGACGGAUGGCUUUCCCGCAAGUUGUCCUGCUUUUCGUUUAAUCCAUGCGUCCGAAGAAGUAUAUUAGCAUAAUGUGAGUCCCUUAUGGAAGUUGAUUACGAGUUUUGAGAAUUUCGUCAUGUGCAAGAUUUCUCCGAAGUAUCGAAGGUUACGAUUUUGGGAAGAUCGGUGAAACGAACAAAAAAGUGUAUCAUAGUGUGAACAGCAAGCAGAACAGAAGGAACCAGUGAAUCACGGAGCUGCGAAAUUAAGCCGGACAGAAUGAAGCAACCAAUGUUUGAAUGGCCACAUUGCCGCGACCCGGAUACAAAUGAAUGUGUAGCAUUGCAACAGCAGAACGGAAUUCUUUCACAUACGUCAUGACGCACAUAUAUGUAAUUUGCUUAUGAAAUAUAUGUUCCAGUUACCGUGAUGAUGUAUCUUACGGAAAACGGAAAGAGCGUUGUGGAAUAUUUGUACAAAAGACAGCCACCACAUUGCUAAAAAUAUCAACCACCUAUCUCCGUUUCGAUAUCCGAGAACAGCAAGGAAAAAAUCGAAGAAAUCGCAAGGAAGAGUGCCCCAUAAGGCAACAUCGGUUAAUUAUAAUACCGCCGCGCCGGAGCUUUUCGCUGAAUCUGCAUCUUCAAGAGAGCAGCCAGCACCCACAACGACAUCGCCUUCGCCUUCGUGCCUGCAACGAGCAUGACGAGGACGAUCUUCAAUACCAACUGUUUUGCUGAUGCCACCCCGCCGCCGCCGGACGCCAUCCAUCCCCUCGGAUCCAAGUAGGUACCCCAGAACACACAUAAGUGCGCCCUCUCCAGUUUCCAUUUUUUCCCGAUAUCCCCUACUUUGUGUGGACUCGUUCUUUCCUAUUCAUUCAUUGGGACGGUUGAUGGCGCGAAUCCCAGGAAAUCAACCGAGAACACCAGCAUCUGCAACAACGGACCCGAUCGAACGAACGAACGUGUUGAAAGGCGCCCGUCCAAAGUGAGAUAACACAUGUUUUUUGUUUGCGCGGCUUCUUCACGGCUUGCUCGAUUCCCUCUUGGAUCUGCAUCCCCCCCUCAGUCAGUGCGGUGGGGACGGUUGGGUUCAGGUUCAGUGAUGGGAACAUCUGCCAAAGAGCGUGAGCUGCAAUGCAUGCAGCAUGCAGCAGAGCAGUCGUGGAGGAGUGUCAAGUCAACGCGGUGUGGCUGUCGGUUGCGUCGUCGUCAUCGUCGUCGUCGUCGUCUAUCGAAAUUCGCUCUGUUCUAGUGCAGGGGACUUCUAAAUUCACUGUAGUCCAGAAAGCAACUUCGCGUAGGAAGAAAAUCUAGUCUGAAAAUCCAAUUUUCAUUAUUUAAGCUUCUAAUAAACACUCUUCAUAUUCAGACACAAAAUCUGUCUUCUCACGUAAGUUUGCUUGAUCCACCAAAUUGUGCACUAUUUCAUGCAGCUGCAAUGAGCUUAAUUUUCAAACCAACUUUUGCGUUCGACGACGACGACGAUCAACCUAACCGCGGCCAACCGCGCUUCGGUUACCGUGUGCGCGCAAACAAAGGACAAAUGCAACGUGGGAUGAUGAUGAUGGUGAUGCGCUGCUCCAUUCGGAAACCACAACAAUGAGUACCGGUCGGUCGGUCGGUCGGUCGGUGGUUGGUGACCAAAAAUGGAAAACACACAUGGCGUUGCGUAGGGGGGUGGGACGGUGGAAAAUCGCAGAUUGUCGCUGGCCAGCCUGAAAUUUGCUAAACCUGUGUGUAUUUGAUUCGAACAAUCAAGGUGAGCAAAUUUUCAGGUGUGUCGGAGAACAAUCGUAAUCAUCGUGGUGGGUGGGUGUGGGGAAGUACUCAUCCAGUGCAGUGUGUAGUUAGAGUGAGCUGUUUUUUUUCUGUGCAACGUGAUUCAACAACAACAGUGAAUUGUGUCCGGAAUCGAGAAGGGGGAUUGGUUUCCUGCGGUUUGUUGGUAGUGGAAGUGGAAGUGAUUCACAGAUAGUAAAUCUGCCUGCUGCAAACAGUUUUGUUGAGAAUGACGGAUUUUACAUUAUUUUGCGCUUUAGAGGUCAUAUAAAGUUGUAGCUAAGAAAAAAACGGGAAUAUUUGUAUUUGAUACUUCACUUAGAACCAAGAACAUCCUGAACACCAUGAAGUGUGUAUAAACGAAAUAAUUGACAAACCAGUUGUUCUAAAAGCAGAAUUUGGAUAUGGGUUAGGUUCAUAUGUAUUAACCUCCGUUAAGAGUAUCAAAAGGUAUUUAAUAUUCUGGGAUGGUCUAGGUGUUCCAAACUGUCCUGCAGUAAAGUCCAUCAAAUCUACAAGAAUAAUAUCAUGUGUUUUCGCCAUAAAUAAUAGCAUUGCAUACUCUCGUAACAGCAGUCAUAUCUGUUAUACUGAGUAACGUUGCAUUAUCAAUCACGGUUACUGGACCAACCUAAAGUCUACUAUAUAAGGACUGUAUCGUUAAUUAUGAGUACACCCGAAAAUUGCUGUAUUUGCAAAUGUUUCAUUGAUUUUGUAAAUUAAGUUCAAUUACAUUGUUUAUUGACCAUCAGAAAAGCCCAUGGUAGGGGGAGUAGGGGCAUAAUGGACACCCUAAGCAAAUGAGUAUGUUAGCGCAGGGUUCCUGAUUUGCACUUUUCAUGUUGUAUGUUUGCUUGUCAACGACGACAGCAAACUCCGGCGAAUGGUGGGAAGCCACACUUGCAAAUUACUCAUUCGUCCACAUUCGCAUCGCAAGCGAUCGAGCGGUGAUGCGAUUCGUGAAUGAUACGAUUGAUAUUGUGCAUACGAUUUUUU